UGCAUAUUAAUAUUAUCAGGUGACGCAGGUCUUAAUAGAGAAGCCGGGUGCAAAGCCCGCACGAUCCAGUCGCUAUAAAAGUGAGUUCGUCCAAAAUAUUAUGCCACUGGUAUUUGUCUGGGAAGGCUUGGAUGAAUGAUGAACUUGAGUCAGAAGAACUGCCUGAUAAUUACUUUACUA
rnacentral:ncRNA from 2 species